AUGGUCAGCGUCACCGAGCUCUGCCCGUUGUCCCUGGAGAUCCUGAACCGGCCCUUGAACGAUGGCGCGUACCAGCCCAUCCUCUUCCUCCUCCUCUUGCUGGCGCUUCCAGGGCUGCGGGCGGACGUGACCCUGCUGGAGUCCGGGGGGGACCUCCAGCCCCCCGGGGGGUCCCUGCGCCUCCUCUGCCGCGGCUCCGGCUUCGAUUUCGGCAGUUUUGGGAUGGCCUGGAUGCACCAGAGUCCCAGGCAGGCCCUGGAAUACGUCGCAGCCAUCGACAGCAGUGGUGCUUACACCAACUAUGCGCCGUCGGUCAAGGGCCGGUUCAGGAUCUCCAGGGACAACGGGCAGAGCUCGGUGACGCUGACCAUGAGCAGCCUCAAGGACGAGGAUUCCGCCGUCUAUUUCUGUGCCAAACGUGAUGGUGCUGGUGCUAAUCAUGCAUAUGCUAUUGACCCCAUCCCCGUCCCCGUGUCCCCCUGUCCCCACUCGGAACUGGAGAAUGAGAUGAACCCUGAGGAGCUGGGUCCAGGGUGGAGCUUUGAAGGGAGGAUCUGGGGACAGGGGACGGGUGCGGUCCAAGCCGUGGGGGCCCAGCCCAAACACCAUAAGCAUUAG